GUGCAGUACCAUAGCUCAAGCUUUAACAGCUCUUAAAAAUGGUGGCAGAAAAGAAGUGUCAAGCACAUGGCGAAUACCAUGUUUUUUACAACAAAAACAAAACAUAAUGAAACUCAAUCUCAGGGACAAAGAAGAUUGAGAGGAUCAAAUCAGUAAUAUGGCAGAUGUCUCCUCUUCUAAGAUUUAAAUUUAGGAUACAUUUCAUUACAAGUAACAAACAACAAAGCGUAAAAAAGCAUAUCCCUAAGAAGCCCAAUGGGUAGCACUUACAUUCACCUAAUUUCAUUUCCUAAGAGCUGUAUCUAUACAAGAAAAGGAACAAGUCAAAUCACACAAAUUAUUAGAUUAUAAUCAACCCUGUUCUUUAUAAGGAGUCCAGAUCAAUUUGCUAACAUCAACCUCUAGACCACCACGGCCAGCAGCUUUUAGAUGACGAUCCAAGACUUUUGGAUCUGCACAAAUCACAUGCUGCCCCUUUCUGUACUGAAUCAAUUCUAGGCUCUGAAGGGUGGUCAAAAUAUCCUCCGCCUUGAUGGCUGUCAUGUCACUAAGCUCCUUGAUAGAAAUAUUGCCCUUGUGUUUCUUCAAGAUGUCCAAAAGAACUCGAGUCCAGUACCCUCUGUAGCUCAACAAUCCUAGGUCAGAAAGUGGUCUUUCAGGUGUACCAACUUUACCUUCUUUCUUGGAAAGUUCAUAUGCUGCUCCACAUGAAAGAUAAAAUCAGUAGUCAAAUAUAUACACAAACUGAACAAACUAAAAAGAACAUCCAUCUUUAUUACAUGGAGGAGUUUAUAACUUAAUGUUGACACAAUUUGGAAUUAAUACAAGACUGGAAAGUUUGAUUUGAUUCCUUAUACUAAGGUCCACCUCUAGCACUACAGGAUAGGCAGAAUUCAGACACCAACUGACCAACAAUAAAGGGUCAGUGGUCUCAGGAAUGAUCUAAGCAAUUUUAUGUUCAGUCUAUCCAUAAUAUUACCCAUAACCACUUUUAAAAGAACUCAAUGACAGAGAACUUAAACAAAUUGGGUAUUCAAGCAGCCAUCUAUCACUGAAGACUGACUUAAUAGAUAAAGACAAGCAUCUUUAAUUACAAAACUUACCAUCCUCUUGUCUCCAAUAAUUUAGAGAGCCAUUGCUCACUACUGUUAAAUUUUAUUCCAAAACAAGAAAAAUCUUUUCAGCAAUUAAAUGCAAAAAAUAAAAAGAGCUACAAGGUUAAGGAACAAGAACAGAUGCAUAAUUUAGCAAGAUACAGAUUCACAUAAGCUGAGAAAGAUAAGAGAUAAAAUGGCUGAGAGCUUACAGAAGGCAAUUAAAAAUUUUCCAUAGCCUUUCCUUUGGUAAGGAGGAAGAGUGAGAAUACAUGCCAAAUUAUAUGAUUCCUCAGAAUGUUUUUCCUUGGAAAAAUAUCCCACCAUGUGGCAUCCUCGAUCAUCACAUUCACACAAAACGUAGAAUAGAAACAGGUCGACAUCAUAAUAAAGGGUCUUGUGAUCAAGAAAUAGCUUUGCUAAAUAACAAAGAUUCUGGCCAUAAACUUUGUUCUUUUUGCCAUCAACCUGUGUCAAAAUAUUCAGUCAAAGCAAAGCUCAAUCAACUGCUGACUUCAGAUAUGGCUACUACUUAAGAAAAUAAAGUGAGAUCACAUGAGAUGUGAAAAUUGCACAAGAUUAGGAGUUGAGAAAUAAGAAUAAAAUAAUGUAUCCAACUUUUUCCAAAAUCAAAUGUCAACUAUGGUAUUUUCUCGAAGUACAUCAACCUUUUUUGUAAGGACAAUAUAAAAGGAAAGAGAAGAAGUCUAGUUAUGACAUUUGAAAGCAUCACAGAUAAGUCUCAGAUAACAGAUAUCAACUAUGCAUUAGACCCAAAAACACCCAGAAUAAGUUAAAAGAAAUUCACUUAGCUCGCAAAGUAACUUACAGUCAUACCAUACCUCGAACAUUGACAAUGUACCACUCCGAUAGAUCUCAUCACCAGGGGGAUGCUUGAGAUCACACUUUCUCUAUAUAAAACAAAUGAAGAAAUUAGGGGGAAGAAGUGAAAUGUUAAACCAAUUGCAAAACAUCUAGAGAUGGCAAUUUCAUCCUGAAAAAGCCCAAUGAAGAACCUUGUCCUGCCAAUGGUAGCAGGGCAAGGAUGAAUUUAAGCCAGCCCAUCCCUAUUUUUGCCCCCAACUUCAAAAUAUAGUUUUUGUUAUAAUUUUUGGUUAAAUAUGUGAAAACUUAUUUAUCUUUUAAGAUAUCUCAUUAUUACUCAAUACUAUUCCUUUUGUUCACAAGCAAUAAUAAUAUUUAAAAUUUAACAUAUAUCCAUAUUAUAGGGGUGGCACAAGCCAUGCCCAUGGGGCCUGGAAUUUUAAAAUUUUAAUUUCUUUAAUACAAAAAUUUUUAUUUUUUACAAGUAUUUGUAAAAAUAUAUAAACAAAAUAUUUAUAUUAUAUAAUAUUUUUAUACUAUUUAUAUAUUUUUUAUUAUAAAAUACAUAAAGAUAUAUUAUAUAUAAUUUGAACUUGAUGGGUUGGGCUCAAAAUGUGAAGCCCAGGCCUGACCCUAUUUUUAAUAGGCCUAAUUUUUUGCGCUUGGCCCAGUGGGCCUAAAACCUAAGACCAGACCCAUUUAUUUUACAUGGCCAGGCUCAAUAAGCCCACCACAAUAUCUAUAUAAUACUUAAUUUAAUGAUAAUAUAUAAAUAUAUUACUUUUCGUAAUUUAUAUAAAAUUGUAACCACAAUGAACAACAUCCAUGACGGAUUUCCAUGAAUGUUCAAAUAAGUCAGAACUCAGAAAAGCAACAUCUGCACAUUGAUCAAAAACUAAGAUUAAAGACUGGCACUACAGAACUCUUAUUUAGAGCAGACACAAAUUGAGCACUACAAACCAUGGAAAUUUUUGAGAGACGGCUCACCAUAUGCCUUUGAAGCUGUUCUUUACGCUUCAUGAAAUUGAGGCAAAACUCACAAAAGUACAGCUUGACAGAAUCAUUGUAUUCUGGUGGAAAGGGGGAGAAGUACCAUGUCUCAAUCUCAUAUCUCCCAAGUUCAAUAGUGGCUAUAUUUUUCACUUUUGUGAAUUCCUCAUGUUCACGUAAGCUGGCAGCAUCAAGCUCCUCGUGGCCCUCUACAUGUGUUUCAUCAAUCUUACGUUUCUGGUGGCGUGUCAUUUUCAAGCUUGUUACCUUGUCUUCCACCUUCUCAUCUACAACAGUCUCCACUGAAUCAAGAUCUAGUUGUUCAAGCUUCACCCAUUCAUCAAGCCUCCUAUUAACUGCCAAAAGGUUAAAUAUAGAUGAUAGGCCACAAAGAACAAAAAUUUUAAAAUACCAAUAUUUGUGGUCUCCAAUCAUGUCCAUAAUCAGUAAAUGGAAUUCAAAGAAAAUCAAUAAAUGCAAAAAAAAUUAUAUUAGGGGAUGCAAACAAUAUAUAUGCCCUGAGGCUUCCACAGCCAACCUUGCUGUUACCAAACAGAUUCCAGCGAAAUAAGUAAGAUCCCAAAGUUUCCUAGUCAAUGCAAAAGCAAGUGUUGCAAUCAUUCCACAACAAUUUGCACAGUAAGAAUCAAUUCAAGUUCAUCCUUUUACAGAUAUUAUCAAUGGUUAAACACCAUUCGCAGUUGCAGUUAUCUGUAUGCAUAUAUCACACAACCAUAUCAUACUAAAUUGUAACCUUGCAUUUUCUUCACCAACAUCUGCCUGCCCCAACUAGUUCCUUAUAAAAAUUUAUAUCCAUAGCAGAAUUGCCUUCCAAACAACAAAAUUAGUCCUUAAUUUCUCCAUGCUCCCAUAAAUUGGUUGCUAAAAAGCAAGGCACAGGUCCCUACAAUAAAUUAUGUGAAACUAAGUAUUUCUCCCCGAGAGAAUUCGCACUGGAUUCAAAACUAAAAGAAAGCUAAAAGGACAGACUUCACAAAGCUAGAAUAUAAAUGGCUUUAUAUCUGUUGAAUUUAAGUAACAUCGUAACAUAAUCUUCGAUCCAUACAUAAAUCUGCAGAUAAUAAUACUUGGAAGUAAAUAGUUUAUCACAUCCAAUCCUCCUAUUCCGUUUUGAUUAUGAAGACAAAAACGGACUCACCCAAAGAAGCAGCAAACCAAAGACAAUUUUCUCCUCUUCCAUUAAAAAAAGCCCUUCCUAUAAUUUCAAGCACAAAAUAUGAACUCUAACCCUAAUUCUAAUCCCGUGCACCAAAUCAACAACAAACAAAUAAAUUAAUACUCACACUCGGUGUAAUGGACAUAAUACUCGUAAUCGUUAGGUCCACCGCACUGCAUUUUGCGGCGCUCGAUGAUCUUUACCUGGUGAUACUUGCCGUCCCUCCAACGGCACAGCACACGAGUACCCACCUCAAGCGGUAGCACACUCGACCUUCUCUUCUUCAACGAGUCAGAUUCUAUCUGCGUCAUUUCGGCGGCCGGCGGAGGCAUUCCGUUGACAACAGAAUGAGGCUUCUGGUAGAAGUCGGCGGCGCCAGCAGGGGACACGGUUGCUGUUGCGCUUCCGGAGCCGUUCUCCGGAUUUGUUGGUGUUUCUAUGGAACCCAUAGCCGGUUUCAGAUGUCCAAGU
rnacentral:misc_RNA from 1 species